CCUACGGGCGGCAGCAGUGGGGAAUAUUGGACAAUGGGCGAAAGCCUGAUCCAGCCAUGCCGCGUGUGUGAAGAAGGCCUUCGGGUUGUAAAGCACUUUCAGUGGGGAAGAAAGCCUUGGGGCUAAUACCCUCGAGGAAGGACAUCACCCACAGAAGAAGCACCGGCUAACUCCGUGCCAGCAGCCGCGGUAAUACGGAGGGUGCGAGCGUUAAUCGGAAUUACUGGGCGUAAAGCGCGCGUAGGCGGUCUGAUAAGCCGGUUGUGAAAGCCCCGGGCUCAACCUGGGAACGGCAUCCGGAACGGCCGGGAUGGGGGGCGGGAGGGAAGGGUAGGAUCCCCGGGGGAGCGGUGACAUGCGGAGGUAGCGGGCGGAAAACAGGGGGGGAAGGGGGCUUUUGAGAUGGACACUGACGCGGAGGUGCGAAAGGGUGGGGAGCAAACAGGAUUAGACACCCCGGUAGUC
rnacentral:rRNA from 1 species